rnacentral:rRNA from 1 species
AACGAACGCUGGCGGCAGGCUUAACACAUGCAAGUCGAACGCAUCCUUCGGGGUGAGUGGCAGACGGGUGAGUAACGCGUGGGAACGUGCCCUUCAGUUCGGGAUAACCCAGGGAAACUUGGGCUAAUACCGGAUACGUGCGAGAGCAGAAAGAUUUAUCGCUGAAGGAUCGGCCCGCGUCUGAUUAGCUAGUUGGUGGGGUAAUGGCCCACCAAGGCGACGAUCAGUAUCUGGUCUGAGAUGAGGCUCAGCCACAUUGGUACUGAGACACGGACCAAACUCCUACCGGAGGCAGCAGUGGGGAAUAUUGGACAAUGGGCGAAAGCCUGAUCCAGCCAAGCCGCGUGAGUGAUGAAGGCCUUAGGGUAAUAAAGCUCUUUCGUCCGGGACGAUAAUGACGGUACCGGAAGCAGAAGUCCCGGCUAACUUCGUGCCAGCCGCCGCGGUAACAC